rnacentral:tRNA from 2 species
UGGCCCGUGGUGUAAUGGCAACACUCCAGUUUUUGGUACUGGCAUUCCUGGUUCGAGUCCAGGCGGGCUAG